UUAUUAUCAUAAAUAUUGAAGGGAGAUAAUCCCACUCUACUCGUACUCCGCCAUACACUCGUACAUAGUUUUUAUUUAUUUAAUCGUUGGCACCGCGAUGAGUUGUCGAGUAAUCUAUAAAAAAAAUUCCUAUAAACGUAUUAUUAUUAUUAUUAUUAUUAUUUAAUAGGUAACUUAUUAUUGUUAUUCUCGUUAUAACUGUUGUUCAUUUUUUUUCGAAAUCUCGAGACGCACGUGUUCUCGCCGUCGCAACGUGUCGACCUCUGUUCGUUAUACGAUUGAAUUGGCCUUCGAUCACACAGACGAGCAACACACAGCAAGGUAACUCCGCGCUAACAAUACACGAAAUAAGAAUAUUUCAAAUAAAUAUGUAAUUGUUUACAGUGCCUACAACAAAAACAACACCGACAACGUUUAUUUUUGCCGAAGAAAUUUAAUUUUCCUAUUGCAAUCUUCCCGCUGAACGUGAAAACGUCAACAACUUUCGGUUAUUCAAACUGCCUGCAAUUGUUUAUUGUACGUGUAGGAAUAGCAGUGGGCAUAGGUCGUCCAUAAUUUGUUGAUUCUUAAAUUCUCAUCAACCGAUACCGGAGUGAAACGACUAUUUACUUUUAAUUUUCAUACGGCAAAAUACAUACAUACAUACAUACAUACAUACAUAUAUAUAUACUAAAAAUUCCAUUAAUAAAUGACGUAUUAAGUAUAUGAAAAGAUAUAAAUAGAUUUUGUUGUUAAAAUUGUUGAUUUCCGUCGAACCGUUGACGAGAUAAUAUUUCACUUUUAAGUUAAGGUAGGUGGAGAGUAUAACGAAGUAUCAUCUGUUUGGCGGCACCAGUACCCCACUAUACUGUCCCCCUACCUAAAUUUAAAA